rnacentral:misc_RNA from 1 species
GAUGAAGAACGUAGCGAAAUGCGAUAAGUAAUGUGAAUUGCAGAAUUCAGUGAAUCAUCGAAUUUUUGAACGCAUAUUGCACCCGGUGGUAAUCUGCCGGGUAUGCCUGUUCGAGCGUCAUUUCAACUCUCGAGUUUUGAUACUCGGCAUUGGGGAUCUGAAGCUUCAUUGCUACCGGCCCUUAAACUUAGUGGCAAGUUCGCUGUUAGAACCUUCUGCGUAGUAGUUUGGUAGAUUUCGCAUGAGGCGCCGGCGAAGCUUGGCCGUCAAAACCUUGAACUAUUUGCUAGUUGACCUCGGAUCAGGUAGGAACACACGCUGAACUUAAGCAUAUCAAUAAGCGGAGGA